AUACGGAGGGAGCAAGCGUUAUUCGGAAUCACUGGGCGUAAAGGACGCGUAGGCGGGUUUGUAAGUCAGGUGUGAAAUCCUACAGCUCAACUGUAGAACUGCACUUGAAACUACAGACCUAGAGUAUGGAAGGGGCAGAUGGAAUUAGUGGUGUAGGGGUAGAAUCCGUAGAUAUCACUAGGAAUACCGAAAGCGAAGGCGAUCUGCUGGGACAUUACUGACGCUGAGGCGUGAAAGCGUGGGGAGCAAACAGAAUUAGAAACCCCAGUAGUCC
rnacentral:rRNA from 1 species